rnacentral:rRNA from 1 species
GACGAACGCUGGCGGCGUGCUUAACACAUGCAAGUCGAACGACGUGGCGAACGCGUGAGUAACGCGUAAUCAACCUGCCCUUCAUAGGGGGACAACAGUUGGAAACGACUGCUAUUCCCGCAUACCGAUGGAGGGGAUUGCGUCUGAUUUGCUAGUUGGAGGGGUAACGGCCCACGAAGGCGAUGAUCAGGAGCCGGUCUGAGAGGGAGAGCGGCCACAUUGGGACUGAGACACGGCCCAGACUCCGACGGGAGGCAGCAGUGGGGAAUCUUCCGCAAUGGACGAAAGUCUGACGGGGCAACGCCGCGUGAGUGAUGACGGCCUUCGGGUUGUAAAGCUCUGUUAAUCGGGACGCGGUACCGGAAGAGAAAGCCACGGCUAACUACGUGCCAGCCGCCGCGGUAAUAC